rnacentral:rRNA from 1 species
UUCGGAUUGGAGUCUGCAACCCGACUCCAUGAAGCUGGAUUCGCUAGUAAUCGCGCAUCAGCCACGGCGCGGUGAAUACGUUCCCGGGCCCUUGUACACACCGCCCGUCAAGCCAUGGGAGCCGGGAGUGCCUGAAGUGCGUGAGCGCAAGCAGCGCCCUAAGGUAAAACCGGUGACUGGGGCUAAGUCGUAACAAGGUACC